GACGAACGCUGGCGGCGUGCUUAACACAUGCAAGUCGAACGCUGAAGCUCAGCUUUUGUUGGGUGGAUGAGUGGCGAACGGGUGAGUAACACGUGAGUAACCUGCCUCCUUCUUUGGGAUAACGCCCGGAAACGGGUGCUAAUACUGGAUAUUCACUGGUCUUCGCAUGGGGGUUGGUGGAAAGGGUUUUUCUGGUGGGGGAUGGGCUCGCGGCCUAUCAGCUUGUUGGUGGGGUGAUGGCCUACCAAGGCUUUGACGGGUAGCCGGCCUGAGAGGGUGACCGGUCACAUUGGGACUGAGAUACGGCCCAGACUCCUACGGGAGGCAGCAGUGGGGAAUAAUGCACAAUGGGCGCAAGCCUGAUGCAGCGACGCCGCGUGAGGGAUGGAGGCCUUCGGGUUGUGAACUUCUUUCGCUCAUGGUCAAGCCGCAACAAUGGUUGUGGUGAGGGUAGUGGGUAAAGAAGCGCCGGCUAACUACGUG
rnacentral:rRNA from 1 species